CCUCGCCGUGCUAAUAAGAGCAGCACGCUGCUUGUGGUGAGUUCUCAUGGGCAGCUGAGGAAGAGCGCUGUGGUAAAAUGCAUUGAUACCAUAUUCAAAGGGAGGCCUGACUUGGGAAUAGUUUUGCAUUUACAUACACCUCUUCAGCUUGCCUGCACCCAGAUCUUUUGGAUCCACAAAUAGCAUGUGGAAGGAAGCUUUCCUGUACACAUAGCCAAGCGAAGGAAGAGAGAUGAAAAGGGAGAGAAAGUGAGGAGGAGGAGGAGGAGGGGCAGGGGGAGAACAUAAGAAAGCAUAGGAGCUGCUGGCAAGCCUUGGUGCUUUUAAUUGGUUCCAAGUGUCCCAGAUUUCCCUGCACUGGAGAGCUCCUCUGGUCCUCCUCUCUGGAGCUCUUCUGGAAUGGCCUCCGUAGCAGCAUGCACUCCAUUUGCCCCUGGAUUCUUUAUUGUUAUUAGGCGAUUUCCUGGGGAACUUCUGGAUGGCAGUACAGUGCAGGAGUUGUUUUGGCUGGCUCAUAAUGGAGCGACACAGAGAGAAUCCAACAACCAAACAAACCAAACCCAACGUCAGUCCCCAGGUUUCUCUCAUUCAUCACCGCGAGGGGCCAGACCUGUGAAUGCACAUUCAGAGACCCCCAACCCUCCUGCUGAGAGCGAGCAGACCACCAUGCAGAAACCUCCACGUCUCUGGAUCUCCUCCCAUCCUGUUUCCCCACUGCCUGGCCCUGAUAAGUCGUCUUGGUCGGGAGGAACAGCGAUGGCCUUUGCCUGAGUCAACGGAAAUGGAGGAAACAGAAUUCCUUACGUGACAACGAAAAACACAAUGGAGACAGGAAACAUUGAUGUGGAGAGGACGAGAAAGAAUGAGACAAGAACAGAUAGGAGCUGCCUGUGGAUGCAAUCAGACACCAGGAAACUACUAAAACCUUGGACGGUUAACACUUCUGCAGUGGUAGACAAAGAGGGGACAUGAACGUGUGUGUGCAUGCGUGUGUGUGGCCGUUAGCCUCAGUACCAUCUGGUUCUGUGUGAGCUGUACAGCUGCAGUGACUGUGCUGCCACCGCUUGGUUCUUUCGUUCCGUUCGCUCUCUGAUUUACUGUCUGGAUUUUUAUCAGCCGGCCGCAUGCCGGGGCCUGCGGUACACCUCUCCUCCACCGCGCGGACAGACAGUUAGGCCUCCCCUGAA
ensembl:lncRNA